AGUGAGCUGCCUCUCUGCGAUUGGUUUUGCCCGAGUUUUAUUUUUGUCUGUCUCAGCUAGAAAGUGGGAGACUUUCAUUUAAAAUGGAAAUUGGGGCGAGGGGUUGGCGGCUGGGCGAAGGGAGCAUUCAAAAGCGGAGAAUGUCACUUUACCCGAGAAAUUCACUACGAUGGGCCAUUGGUUUCUGCUCGGCUCGCAGGCGCACUGCACGAGUGGAGGUGUGGCUAGUGGCUGUGAUGAGAUAAAUCCAUGCAUAGCCUUUUCAUUGCGAGCUUGAAAGUUCUUUUCUAUUACAGUUUUAGCUUUAGGUUUAAUUGGUUCGACUGCCUUCUCCACAAUUUGGGCGAGAAUUUCCUUUGCCUUCUCAGCAAAAGUUGUUCUGCGGACCCGUCUGGGUCAACUUUCAUGAGGGACAUUGAGACAAACAAAUGAAAUAUGGGUUAAAGUACUCUGAGCAGCUACAAAAAGAAGACCAGUCUAUCCUGCUGGAGACAGUGGCCACGUGAAGAAAGAGCUCUUGCAGUAUGAAAGACCACAUGGAAAGAGAGGCCACAUGGAACCAACAGUCAGCAUCUUGGUUUCGGACACGUGAAGAAAUUCAUCUCAGACUGUGUAUCCUAAAUCAGGCACUUGCUGAAUCUAACUACAUGAGUGAGACCAGUUGACAACACAUGGAGCAGACAUGAGCUGUUCUCAGUGAGUCCUACACAAAUUCCUGACUCACAACACUGUGAGCAAUAAAAUGGUUGUUAUUUUAAGCCACUGAAGUUUGCAGUGAUUUCUUACAUAGGAAUAGAUAAAUGAAACACAAACAUUGAUCAUUUGCAUCUUCUAUCUUUUUUAUGACUAGUCUUAUUGGAAAUUACCAGUUUAUUUCUGCCAUGGUUAGAAAACAAACUCUGAAAUUUUGAUACUUUAAAAUUUUUUUGAGACUUACUGUGCCCAGAAUAUAGUCUAUCUUGGUGAAUGUUCUGUGAGCACUAGACAAGAAUAUGUAUUCUGUAGUUAUUGAGCAUUGUGUCCAUCAAUGUCAACGUGAUUAAGGUGGUUAAUAGUUGUCUUCAGAUCUUCUAUAUUGUAUUGAUUGUUUUAUGUGUAGUGUUGCUAUUAAUUAUUGAUACAGGAGUGUAAAACUUAAACUAUGGCUGUGAAUUUGCCACUUACUUUAGUUUUGUCAGCUUUUCUUUUGCAUUUUUGAAGCUCUGUUAUUGGGCAUAUAAACAUUUAUGGUUCGUGUGUCUUCCUGAUGAAUUGACCAUUUUAUCAUUAUGAAAUGUCUUUAUUGCUGAUAAUACUCCUUAUCUUGAAGUCUA
rnacentral:lncRNA from 10 species